rnacentral:rRNA from 1 species
GAUGAACGCUGGCGGCGUGCCUAAUACAUGCAAGUCGAGCGAACGGACGAGAAGCUUGCUUCUCUGAUGUUAGCGGCGGACGGGUGAGUAACACGUGGAUAACCUACCUAUAAGACUGGGAUAACUUCGGGAAACCGGAGCUAAUACCGGAUAAUAUUUUGAACCGCAUGGUUCAAAAGUGAAAGACGGUCUUGCUGUCACUUAUAGAUGGAUCCGCGCUGCAUUAGCUAGUUGGUAAGGUAACGGCUUACCAAGGCAACGAUGCCUAGCCGACCUGAGAGGGGGAAUCGGCACACCUGAACCGAGGACACGGUCCGGACUCCUAGGGAGGGCAGCGGUGGGAAAUCUUCCGCAAGGGGCGAAAGCCUGACGAGGAAACGCGGCGGGGUGGAUGAAGGUCUUCGGAUCGUAAAACUCUGUUAUUGGGGAAGAACAUAUGUGUAGGUAACAGGGCCCAUCUGAACGGAACCAAAUCAGAAAGCCACGGCUACUACGUG